UUUACUUUGACUCUGUUUGUAGCAUUCUCGAGUUUCCUUCCAUCUUAUCUCACAUGGAUGCCCCACGUAUGAUCCUUUUUCCGUCGAGUAAAACCACGCCCAGAAGCAACCUCUCUUUUUCACAGCAAACCCCUCUCCCCCAAUUAUAAACACCACAAACCCCCACCCUUCUGUCCUCUUCUUCUUCUUCGUCUUCUUCCUCUCCACAGUUCCAAAUUUAAGGGUUUUCUGUGGACCUUCCACUCUACAACUCCGCCUCUGCAACCUCCGAUUGUGUCGGUUGUUUUUCCGGUGGCUUUUUUCUCCCCUUCCCCCUUUCUCAAAUGGGUUUCUUAUGAUAUUAUGAAGGGGCAAUCGGCGGCCGAACAGCUUUAAUUUAUUUUUUUUUUUUGGUUCUGCACCUGUGGUAUACUUUGUGUGUGUCCGUACAUAUCUUGGCCUUGUUUGGGUGUUUCGUGAUGGACUCUGGGAGUAGUGCAAGUAUACAAAGCUCGAGUGGCGGCGAAGAAGACUACGAUUCACGCGCGGAGGGGGGGCUCUCUGGUUUCUUAAACAAUCCGUCACCGCAUGUCGGCCCCAUAGCUACUAAGCCCAACCCACCCCCACCAUCCGUACAUCCUCCAGCGACGCACCACUCUCAUUCUUCCUCUUCCCUCUUCGACCCUUUCUCCAACUUCGCCCAUCAUUUACCCACUCGAUCACCUCAAAAUUCCCUUCCCAAUCUCGACUUCCUCUGUUCCAGGAACCCCAGGUCCGACCACGACCCGAUCCAACUUCCCGCCUCCAUUUCCAUGCUCCCUUCUUCCUCUCAACCCCAAUCGUUUAUGACGGCCACCAAUAGUCAAUUGCAUUUGCAACUCCCUCAUCAAGUCACGCCAACUAAUGUCCAAGCUCCACGGGGUCUAACUCUCACCGCGGAUCGAACCGACGUCGUUCAUAACCAUAAUAACAACAACACUGGUACUGGCAGCCACGCCUCUGCUCGUAACCCGAGGAAGCGAACCCGAGCGUCGAGGAGAGCCCCAACCACCGUCCUCACCACAGAUACUUCCAAUUUCAGAGCCAUGGUCCAGGAAUUCACUGGGAUUCCAGCACCUCCCUUCACACCUGCCUCCUCUUUCCCCAGAGCAAGAGUGGAGCUUUUUGGCGGCACCUCCUCCACCUCUUCCCCACCCUACCUACUCCGCCCAUUUCCCCAAAAGCUACCUCCUUUUCCUUUCAAUUCCCCUGAUACUACUACUACUACUACUACUACUACUUCUACAAAUACUUCCCUUCUCUCUCCAUCCUCCCAUUUUCUUCUCCCCAAACAGAAUCAUCAUCUGUCCUCUAUUUUCAAUCUCCAGCCCCCUCCCCCUCUCCACCAACCUAAUAUAAAUCUCCUCGCCUCCGACCUUCAAGUUUCCCUUGAUACUGCCCAAACCACACCCGAGCCCCGCCGUAAUCACCAUCUUCAUCAAACGCAUCUCCCAGAAGAGUUCCUUUCUGGGAAUAUUCUUCCGCCAAGUUGGGACAUUGGCGGCGGCGGCGGAGGAGGAGGAGCGUCCAUGAAUGCCAAAUACUGUGGCGGUACUAGAGUUAACAACAACUAUUCGGCCUCUUCUUCUUCUUUGGAUUUUCAUGGUGAUAAGGGGGGGUCCGAGAAUGUGACGACUAGGAGUGAAGGUAUGAUAGAAUCUUGGAUUUGUUCGUCAGAUUGAUUAAUUAAUUAAUUAAUUAAUCCUCAUCUACAUCUACCAUCUACCAUACCCAGAUGCUUAUGAGGCAUGAGAAUCACAGACCCACAUCGAAGUAAAGAUCCGGAGUCUGCAGGCAGGUUUGGAAACCGGAGGUUGACGUAGAUGGGUGCCCCAAAUUAAAGUAGAGCUUUUUACCUGUCUCUAACAUGUAGAGCUGGUUAGACGAACACACGACACUCCACAAUGAUAUGAUAUUGUCCAUAUUGUCCAUCAUUCCUUAAAUUAGUCGAUAAAUUGAGGCUCGACUCUCAUGCCUUCGAAGAGGCUCAACUCCUUUUAGGGCAUGGUUCUGAUAUCAUGUUAGACGAAUACGACUCUCUACAAUAGUAUGAUAUUGUCCACUUUAAGUGUAAGCUCUUAUGGCCUUGCUUUGGACGGUCCCAAAAGGCCUCAUAGUAUUUAUUAAUUAUAAACCCAUGAUCAUUUUCUAAA